UACGUAGGGGGCGAGCGUUAAUCGGAAUUACUGGGCGUAAAGCGUGCGCAGGCGGUUCGUUGUGUCGGUGGUGAAAGCCCCGGGCUUAACCUGGGAAUGGCCAUGGAAACUGGCGAACUGGAGUGUGGCAGAGGGGGGUGGAAUUCCGCGUGUAGCAGUGAAAUGCGUAGAGAUGCGGAGGAACACCGAUGGCGAAGGCAGCCCCCUGGGCUAGCACUGACGCUCAGGCACGAAAGCGUGGGGAGCAAACAGG
rnacentral:rRNA from 1 species